CAAGACCUGCGCUUUUGGAGCGGCCGAUGCCUGAUUAGCUUGUUGGUAAGGUAAAAGCUUACCAAGGCUUCGAUCAGUAGCUGGUCUGAGAGGACGGCCAGCCACACUGGGACUGAGACACGGCCCAGACUCCUACGGGAGGCAGCAGUGGGGAAUUUUGGACAAUGGGGGCAACCCUGAUCCAGCCAUGCCGCGUGAGUGAAGAAGGCCUUCGGGUUGUAAAGCUCUUUCAGCCGGAACGAAACGGUUACGGUUAAUACCCGUGAUUACUGACGGUACCGGAAGAAGAAGCACCGGCUAACUACGUGCCAGCAGCCGCGGUAAUACGUAGGGUGCGAGCGUUAAUCGGAAUUACUGGGCGUAAAGCGUGCGCAGGUGGUUUUGUAAGUCAGAUGUGAAAGCCCUGGGCUCAACCUGGGAACU
rnacentral:rRNA from 1 species